UACAAAACUUUUUGUUCGUUUAUUUGUAUUUGGGGGUUUUUGUUGUUGUUUUCUGCAUACCAUGUCAAGCUUUUCUGCAUAAAGUAAUGAAGAAUCUUGGAUUUUAAUAUUGUAGUUCGUGGAUUUCGGAUUUGGUGCUUAAAACUUCGUGAAACUGUAACCGUAUUUCAUUCACCACAAAUAACUAUCUGAUUGAAUAGUUUUCUUAUCAGAUAGAGAAAUAAAACGAGUCGCAAAGUCUAAAAGCAACAUUUCUCUGCCUGGGCUGCCUUGUACCUCUGCACGUCAGUCUGUUUCAAUGUGUGACUAACGUGCCUGGAAGCAUAGCUGGACUGGCCACAUAGCUGGACUGGCCAUCGGGCAUCACCAUCACCAUCGGGCCCAGUGGGCCGAUGGUGAUUUCACCAUCGUGAUUUUUCGUUUUUAUGGGCUGAUGGGGUUUUUUUUUCUUUUUUUCUUUUUUUCCCCCCGUAACGGUAUAAACACUGAAAGGUGGUGGAUUGGCCAGAUGCUGGGAGAUGUGUAAAAAUAACUCAAUUGUUUGGGAGGAGCAGAGACACGAGGCGGUGAACUGAACUUCAGGGAUCGGCUGUCCAGUUCCUCGGAUCCCUGCAGAGGAUAUUGGCAGACCAUGUGUGGGCCACACGGAUCCUGUGCGGCGUCCUGGUCUUUCCCACCAUCGUAGGGAAACUCAUGUUCAGCAUCAUCAACUCGAACCUGCAGAGGACCAUCCUCGUGGGUCCAAAUACACUUACACUGUCAACAAACAUGAUCACAAUUGUUUUGCACAUGGCUUUGAUGAGCAGGAUAAAACCCUGGUACCCAAGUCAUCAUCUCCAAUUUUCAAAACCCAUCACAGUGCUCCUGUUUUAGUUAAAUACUGUGAGGUAAUGUUCAAGUUCUGGCAAAUGUAUUGAAAUGUUGAAAUAUUAGGAAGGAUGAAUAUAGAGCUCUGUAAUUUGAGUGAACAGACUGAAACAGAAACUCAAACUCCUUUGUUCAUGUGUAAAUAACGUGGCUUUGAAUUAACAAGUUAUUGCUGAGAUGAGAAUCUGAGUGUGAGAGCCUGUUUAACACACUGUAUAACCAACAACCUGGAAUAUUUAACCUGCACAUGUCAACUUUUGUACAGGCGUUGUGAGAUCUGCAGACUACACCUUUCCCAUCAGAUCUCCUCUCUGCCACGAGAGAGACUGAACUGUUGUGCACACGAUGCUUCUAACUUUAGACUUCUACAGUAUGAGCUCUGUGAAUAAAUGUAUUUUCAAAA